rnacentral:rRNA from 1 species
GACAAUGGAGGCAACUCUGAUCCAGCCAUGCCGCGUGCAGGAAGACUGCCCUAUGGGUUGUAAACUGCUUUUAUACAGGAAGAAACACCUCUACGUGUAGAGGCUUGACGGUACUGUAAGAAUAAGGAUCGGCUAACUCCGUGCCAGCAGCCGCGGUAAUACGGAGGAUCCAAGCGUUAUCCGGAAUCAUUGGGUUUAAAGGGUCCGUAGGUGGAUAAUUAAGUCAGAGGUGAAAUCUUGCAGCUCAACUGUAAAAUUGCCUUUGAAACUGGUUAUCUUGAGUUAUUAUGAAGUAGUUAGAAUAUGUAGUGUAGCGGUGAAAUGCAUAGAUAUUACAUAGAAUACCAAUUGCGAAGGCAGAUUACUAAUAAUCAACUGACACUGAUGGACGAAAGCGUGGGUAGCGAACAGGAUUAGAUACCCUGGUAGUCCACGCCGUAAACGAUGGAUACUAGCUGUUCGACCAACAUUGGUUGGUUGAGUGGCUAAGCGAAAGUGAUAAGUAUCCCACCUGGGGAGUACGGUCGCAAGACUGAAACUCAAAGGAAUUGACGGGGGCCCGCACAAGCGGUGGAGCAUGUGGUUUAAUUCGAUGAUACGCGAGGAACCUUACC